GUCGAGCCUCCUUGUUCUCUCACUUUCUUCUGUGUGAAAUCACUAAAAUACCCUUCAUCGAAGUCCCCUUCAGCCCUUCUCCCUUGGCACCUCACCUGGUCGAUAGUCAUGCAGGCGCCGGACUUCGACGGCCGCACCGUCUCUGACGACGUGAUCUCGGCGUCGUCGUACUCGAGCACUGACGUCGCCACGAACGCCGCAUCUGAUUGGGUGCUGAAGAGGCUGGAGUGCUUCAGCCUGUUGCUGGAGUUGAUGGCUCUACUGAGGCGGAGCAAGACGUAAUCGAGUGGAAUUAGCUCCGAGGGGAAGAUUUUGACGGCGCCGUCGAAGUGGAGGCGAGCGAGGGGUUGUUGGGAAGAGGAAGGCUAUUUUGGUAUAUUCAAAGAGGGAGGGAUCGUACUUGGGAAUUACUCGAGGUAGGGUUUGCUCUAAAAAACUCAUGAAAGGAUUGUUGCUGCUUGAUAUGCGAUUUGGACUCGGAGGCCGACGACAGUUGUCCGGCGUUAUCUCGCCGCCCGUCCUCUUUGGCUCGCAUACACUCUCCCUCACUCCGGCUGCUUCAUUUCUCCUCCCUCCGUUUCGGAUUCGUUCAUUCUGCGCGCGGCCUCCCUCUCGAUCUUGUCCCAAGCCUCAGUCCCAGAUGACGGAGGCCGAGACAUACACCUUCGGCCCGUACAAGAUUCAUCAGACCGAGGUCUUCCGCUCCACUCCGUACUCUUACGCGAUGGUCAACCUGCGUCCUGUUGUGCCGGGUCAUAUCCUUGCCAAAUUAACCUUUUUGAAAUAGUUGGAAAUUGAUGAUGUAUGAAUGCAUAUCAAAGUUUUCUUUCUUGUGCUUUGCAGCUAUGUUAAGUGUGCAAUCACCAUUUCUGAUAGCAUUUUAGUCCAUUAUAUGUGUCAACAAAAUAUCUCAAUUCAAACAUUUUUUUUUUUUUGCACUCUAUUCCUUGACAUUCUCUACAUGUACUAAUAUGCCCAAAGCGUGAAGUAAAGCGCUUUGUUGAUCUCACUGCUGAUGAGGUUUGCGAUUUAUGGCUUACUGCCAAGGAAGUUGGUGGCCAUCUUGAGGAUUACCAUAAAGCAUCCUCAUUGACGUUCACAAUCCAGGAUGGACCUCAGGCUGGGCAGACAGUUUCUCAUGUGCAUAUUCACGUUCUUCCCAGGAGAAGUGGAGAUUUCACAAAAAAUGAUGAUAUCUAUGAUGAGAUUGAUUCGAAAGAAAAGGAAAUGAAGGAGAAACUUGAUCUAGACAAGGAAAGGAAGGACAGAACACCAGACGAAAUGGCCCAGGAAGCAGAAGCAUAUCGGCGCCUUUUCUCAUAAAUACUAACAGCAGAUGACGAAAAAGGUCCGGUUAUUUUCCCGUUUACUUUUACUGGAACUUAGAAUAAAUGUUAUGGAAUCCAUUCCUGCAAACUACAUGCGAAAUGGGGCUUAAAAUCUUGUUCAUUUUACUCCAUGGAUUUAAGUUUAGAUAUGUGUAAAACAGCAUCUGACUUUUAUAUAGUAGCGUUGCACUCA